CUUGACACAAUCUCCAAUCCUCAUCAAGUGGGUCCCCAAAGGCCCGGCUGGCUUUGGACUGCUGGGGUUCCCAGGAGCCGGAGUGGAAGUGCUUUCCUCUGUUCUUCCUCCAGGGCAGCGGUGGUGAACCUACGGCACGUGUGCCUCGGCGGGCACACAGAGCCCUCUCUGUCAGCAGAGAGCCAAGUCACCCCAGCAUGGCCCCAGCAGCCGAGCAUUCAGGUUUCAUUGCAGUGUUGGAGCUUUGUGAUAAAUAAGUGGGUUUUGGGUUUCAGUUUGGGCAUUCGGUCUUUAAAGGUUUAUCGUCACUGUUCUAGGUCAACCAGAAGCCCUAAGCAUUACAUAUAAAAUAAACAGAAGAUUACAAAAGGCGGAGGAAGGCAGGUGGCUAGGCCCUCAGGACCUGGGGACAUCAUGGGAUCAGGACAUCACCUGCUAAGGUCCCGCAGCAGUAAUGAGGGGCCCUCCCUGCUUGGGGUGCCAGCAGAGACCCAGUACAGAUGCCCCCCCCACCUCGAAGUAACAAGGCGACAUCUCCCUUCCUUUGGUGCAGGCUUCUAUGUUGGGCGUCUGGCAGCCUUAGAUGGUGGGUGGGCUACGGAGCCUGCCAUCCCUGUGUUCUGUUCUGCAGCAGCACUGACCUCGUGGUGGUGAGAAACUCUGAGUCCUAUGUCUGACGGUGGUUUCCUCAAAGGAGGAAUGCCCUCCAUUCAUCGUGGAAUUAGAGCCUGCACAACCCUUAGCACUUCGUCUAGGGCUGGCACAUGGACACUUGGUAAACAUCACUGCGCUCUCAGUGGCGCUGUUGAGAACACAGGUGCUGGUCCAGCACUGGGAAAUCUCCUUCACCCUGAUGACUGAGACCCAUCUGACAGAGCCUGGGCUGGACAGUGCCCAGCUGCUGUUUCCCGGCUACCAGCUCUUGCAGAGAUGCCCCUGGGAGCGCUCCAGGGCCCAGGAGCCCCAUUCCCUUGGGAGAGGGGCAGGGCAGCGACUCUUGGAGACCGAGCUAGCACGCAGGUGGAUGAGUUGGUGAGCACUUCCUGAUGAACCGGACAAGCAAGCUGGUCAGGGGCCAGCAUCGUCCCUGCUUGAGGAAGCACGGGCGCCCUGGGGAGAGCAGAGGUGAGCUCGGUGGCGCCCAGGGAAUGGGAGUAGUCGAAGACCUGGCUGGGUGGUGACUUCCAGGCUGUGACACCCGAGAAGUUUCCAGUUCUGCUAUGGGGAGUGAUUUUCUAAGGGAACCACAACCUGCUCCUGAGGACAUCCUUUAGUCUGGGCAACAGUGGAGACAUUCAAAUUCUCAUUUUUCUGCUGCAGAUAAUGGGAUGUGGGGGGAGAUGCGGACUCAAGCUUCACCUCUGUGCCCUUGGAUGAACCAUGUGGCUUCCCCACCUUUCCGUUUUCUUACCUGCCAAGCCGGACUCUUCCAGACUGUUGUAGGAACUCGGUGACAAAAGAUCCAUGGGGCCACGUAGCCCGGUGGCUGGCCUGGGAAUUCGUCUCAGUCUUCCUUCCUAACACCGUGCUGUCCUGCGAGCUUCAUUUUGGAAAAGCCUGGAGUUAAGAUCGAUGGCCUCGAAAGGAAUAAGUAACCACCCUUAGGGGAAAAAGGGCAGCUAAUAAACUGCGGGAUUCAGCAGCCGAAUGAACACAAUCUGUCCGUUUACUCGUACCCAGCAGUGCACAAGUGGACCAGCUUCGUGGCGUGUGCAGUGACGGGGUCAGGGUUGCUCAGCGUGUGCCCUGGGAGACAGACUUCGAGUCAGGCCUGCGCUGGGACCUGCGUGGUGCUGAUCCCCAGCUCUGCAGUCUUGGGCCAACACUUCACGCUCUCAGAGCCUCUGUGUCCUUGUGAAAAGAAUGAAAACGUCGUUGGUACUUACUGUGCACAAGGAGCUAUGUUUCAUAAUUUACAUACGUGUCACACUCAGUUCUUGCAGAGUCCACACAAGCUUGUGAUAAAUAUAACUUGUUUUUCAGAUGAGGAAUCCAGACCCAGAGGGAGAUAAAACUUGGCCCAAGGUCUCCCUAUGGGUAAAUUGUCAAAUUGGCAGUGAACCCAGGGCUCUCUGCCCUGAAAACUGUACUCUUGAAAAGGAUUAUAUGGCUUCAUGUUCACAACUGAUAAAAAUAAGAUCAGCUUUGAAUGAGUUUAAAAUAAGGCAGUAUAUAUAUAUAAUUUUCAGACCAAGGAAGGCCUAUCCUAAGAGAAUAUGUUCAAUAAAAGUAAUUUUUAUUAUAUCAUUCAGAAAAAUCAUGCAGGGAAAUUGCACGUAAUACUUAGCAAAAUAAUGAUUGGUGCUUAUUAAGAACAAUGUGUGCCAAGCUUUCUAUUAAAUCAGUGUGUGCACUGUCACCUUUACUCUUCAGAGAACUCCGUUAUGCAGAUAUCCUCUCUUAUCCUUUCUGAAAUAAAAAAAUGUUGCUUAGAGGGCUCAAGCAUCUAGGACCAAGUGUGUUAUUCUGUAGUGAGAGCCAUGAGCUUGUCUGCUGGUUCCAGAGCACCGUUUUGCUGGGUUUUUGCUUUUUAGCCUUUUGCCCUGUGGCCUUCCUAAAGAAAAAAGCCUUCUCCCUGUGAAUGAUCAAGAGUUCUGGAAGAACUAUGUACAGACUUGUGUCCGAGGUCUACUCAGGCAGACGUCUCAGGAGCGGCAGGAGAGAACCAAAGCCAGCAUCGCUCGUCAGAACGCCGAGCAGGAAGGAGACAUUUCGAACCAGGAAGUGGGGAAUCAAUUUGUUGCGGGGGGUGGGAAGCAAUGGCUCCAAACAUUUACUUGAUGAAAAACUAAAGCAAGAAAGCAGCACAGUGAAUCUUGUUAGAAAGAUUGAUUCUGGCUUCCUCCUGUUCUUUCAUUACACCUGAAUAAUCACUGCAAUGUAAUCUACAAAUGGUGAAAUUUCCAAGUCAGGCGGUGCCUAAGUCUCCAUUUUGUAAACUCUGAAUUAAUUCCACACGCACUUACGGAUAUCGGGCCUAAUUCCAUUUGGUCUUUCCACCAGCCAUGGCAUUUUUCUUGCUUCUGGAGGUAAAUGCCAUUAUAAAAUAUCCAGAGCUCUGGAAUGCUUCUCGAGGAGUUUUCCUUGCGGGACCCUGCCUCUUGACCGUGACUUGUCAUCCUCUUAUUCCUGCCCCCUCACCCCUCCUCGAGCCCUUCUUGGGGGUCCCCUCUGCCCAAAGUGCCCGCAGCCCCUCCUGCCUCAGGCACUCACGGUCCUGAGCUAAGCUCCUGGACCCCGUGUGUGUCCCCAGCAGCCUCCACCUGUGAGUUCUUCCCUGCCCUCCUGGCAGAGCCUGAUGUACUGAGUGAUGUGGGUCUGCAUUCCCGGACACACAGGCAGAGACCACAUCAGCCCUACUCUCUGCUUUAUCUCUGAAGCCUCUCCAGCCUUGCUGAGGUUGAAACACAAUUUGCUGAUGUUUGACUACAAAAGUGGCAAUUACCUAUGGCUCAGCGGAUGCCCAACAUGUACCGAGCGCUUUCCGCUGACCAUCAAGGGCUGUGCUGCUGCCCUCUUUGGAUUUCCAUCCACCUGCGCCCACCCUCCCUCCUGCUUCUUAAAGAGAUGCUGGGGUGGAGGGUUUAGGCUUUACAGGACAAUAGCCUUUCUGCCGGAGCUGCCUUCCAAAGCCAUUUGCUAGCACCUAGAAUUAGACAGCUCAGGGCACAGGUCAUGCAGCUCCAUGCUGAUGUCAGCGCAGGAGGAUUCAGUGGGUGAAGUACGAACUGGAGUAGUAAAUAACUGGCCCUGUGUCUUUCUUUUCUUCAGCAGUUUGGAAAGAAAUAUAAAUUGCUAAUUAUUGAUUUUCCCCUGAAAUUUCACUUGAGCGACACCCAGCGUUGGCUCGUUUCUGUGGCCAGUCUGGACAAGCAGCCUGCGGCAGAAGAAGCCCCACGAUGAUGCCUCAAGCAGAGAAAAAAAUAACUGCGAACAAGAAGCCAGGGAAGGUGGCACCGGGGCUACAUGGCUGGGAGAAACGGAGGCCCAAUCAUGAUGUCGAGGGGUCUGGGACUCGGCCAGCUCUGGGAGUCGCCUGGAAAACAAUGGCAACAACAAAAUAAAAACGAGAAGAAACUCAGUCCCAGAGUGACCCAGAGUUCUGGAACAAACUUACCAAAGGUGAGCACACAAGGCCCAUAAAAUCGCACUGAUUAAAAAAAAA